GCUAGUAAUCGUGGAUCAGCAUGCCACGGUGAAUACGUUCCCGGGUCUUGUACACACCGCCCGUCACACCAUGGGAGCUGGUAACACCCGAAGUCAGUAGUCUAACCGCAAGGAGGACGCUGCCGAAGGUGGGAUUAGCGACUGGGGUGAAGUCGUAACAAGGUAUC
rnacentral:rRNA from 1 species